GCAUUAGAAGGUUGAGGACCACUGUACUCUAGUGGGAGUCAGAAUGGGGAAAGGUUUCGUGCCUGCACUGGUUGUCUGGUAAUGGCUUGGUGACCUUGAAAAUUUACCUAAGCUCUGCAAGCUUUGAGGUCUUUGCAUGAGUCACUGUGAGCUAUGGCUCUCCAGAGGGCCUCACCUUUCCCCUGAGACUGUGAAUACAACUUGGCUUCAUUGGAUGUGAGUGAGAGAAAACAGACAUGCAGGGAAAAUCGCAGGCUAGUAUUUGAGCAGUACCACCCACCCCAUUAUCGCUCUCCUUGGCUUCAUCCUCCCAGUGGUUCUGCUAAGGCCCGGUUCUUAUUCAUCUUAGUUCUUAAUCCUUUGGCAUGGACGCGUCUGUGGAUGUUCUGACCCUCUGUGUGACUAAAGCCCUCUGGUCAGUUCUUCCGGUCGGUUUUGCCUUUUGGAUGAGGUGAUAAACUCAUUAGUAAUUUCCUGCGGUUUGUCUGUGCUCUGAGGCAGUGAAUGCUUCAGACAGUGAGUGACUCGCUCACAGAGGUGCUGCCCUCUACACUCCCCUCUUGUCUUUCAUUUCUUUCAUUUGUCCUCAUUAAUAAAGGGCUACUCUCAAAUCUC